UACGAAGGAUGCGAGCGUUAUCCGGAUUUAUUGGGUUUAAAGGGAGCGUAGGCGGUCUUAUAAGUCAGUGGUGAAAUCCUAUCGCUUAACGAUAGACGUGCCAUUGAUACUGUAGGACUUGAGUACAGAUGCCGUUGGCGGAAUGUGUCAUGUAGCGGUGGAAUGCAUAGAUAUGACACAGAACACCGAUUGCGAAGGCAGCUGACGAAACUGUAACUGACGCUGAGGCUCGAAAGCGUGGGGAUCAAACAGG
rnacentral:rRNA from 1 species